rnacentral:rRNA from 1 species
UACGGAGGGUGCAAGCGUUAUCCGGAUUCACUGGGUUUAAAGGGUGCGUAGGUGGGCUUGUAAGUCAGUGGUGAAAUCUCCGGGCUUAACCCGGAAACUGCCAUUGAUACUAUAGGUCUUGAAUCAUCUGGAGGUGAGCGGAAUAUGUCAUGUAGCGGUGAAAUGCUUAGAUAUGACAUAGAACACCGAUUGCGAAGGCAGCUCACUACGGAUGUAUUGACACUGAGGCACGAAAGCGUGGGGAUCAAACAGG